rnacentral:rRNA from 1 species
UACGUAGGGUGCGAGCGUUGUCCGGAAUUAUUGGGCGUAAAGAGCUCGUAGGCGGUUUGUUGCGUCGGCCGUGAAAACCUGCAGCUUAACUGUGGGCCUGCGGCCGAUACGGGCAGACUUGAGUUCGGUAGGGGAGACUGGAAUUCCUGGUGUAGCGGUGAAAUGCGCAGAUAUCAGGAGGAACACCGGUGGCGAAGGCGGGUCUCUGGGCCGAUACUGACGCUGAGGAACGAAAGCGUGGGGAGCGAACAGG